rnacentral:rRNA from 1 species
GAUGCAACGCGAAAAACCUUACCUACCCUUGACAUGUCUGAAAUCCUGGAGAGAUCUGGGAGUGCUCGAAAGAGAAUCAGAACACAGGUGCUGCAUGGCCGUCGUCAGCUCGUGUCGUGAGAUGUUGGGUUAAGUCCCGCAACGAGCGCAACCCUUGUCAUUAGUUGCUACGAAAGGGCACUCUAAUGAGACUGCCGGUGACAAACCGGAGGAAGGUGGGGAUGACGUCAGGUCCUCAUGGCCCUUAUGGGUAGGGCUACACACGUCAUACAAUGGCCGGUACAGAGGGCUGCCAACCCGCGAGGGGGAGCCAAUCCCAGAAAACCGGUCGUAGUCCGGGUCGCAGUCUGCAACUCGACUGCGUGAAGUCGGAAUCGCUAGUAAUCGCGGAUCAGCUUGCCGCGGUGAAUACGUUCCCGGGUCUUGUACACACCGCCCGUCACACCAUGGGAGCGGGUUCUGCCAGAAGUAGUUAGCCUAACCGCAAGGGGGGCGAUUACCACGGCAGGGUUCGUGACUGGGGUGAAGUCGUAACAAGGUAACCGU